UUACUUUUGAGUGCUUUAUUAUAUUGGAAUUGCAGUGAUAUUAACAUUUGUACAAAGGUUCUUUCGUAAACCUAAUAAGAGAUGUAAAAACUGAACAACAUAAACAUUUUUUUUAACAAUGAGUUCAGAAUCCAAACAAAACAAAAAAUAAAAAAAAAGCUUAACAUAACGUAUACCAGUAAAUGUUGCAAGAAAUAUUUACAUGUAAGUACCAAAAUGUCUGCCCUUCCAGUAAGGAACAUAUCUAGACUACCUCUGGUAUGCCCACUGGUGCAGAUAACAAUGCCCAUCAUGCUUAGGCAGUCUUGCAAUUUGUACAAGAUGAGAAUUGCACGUUACCAGAGCUGCAAUGCCAGAGCUGCCUUUUCCUGGUUAGGAAGGUAGUUACUAUACAGAAAUUAUCAAAAAAAGAAAAAGAAAUAUUUGUACAAAGAAAAUAUAUAUAUAUAUAUUACAGCACCUUUUGCAGUUAUAUUUAGUCGACAUAGUAAUAGAGAAAUUGUAAAAGAAGCUUUUCAUUAUUUUAUGUAAUAAAACUAGCAAACACUUUUAUGGACCCUGGGCUUUGAGCAAAGCUAUUCAAUAAAAUGGCUUGACUUAAAGAGGCUAAAAUCAGGCAGAUAGUUCUAUCUCUGGUUGAAAAAAAUGAAUCAAAUAAUUUCUCUGUUAUGUAACAUCUGCAUACAUCUGAUUCAUGACUAAGUAUUCUUUUAGAACAGGUCACCUGGGCUUCAGUAAAAAGGUACUGAAAAAAGCCCAAGCUUGGUAAGGUCUCAGAACUGUUUGUCUCAAACCAAGUAUUGCUUUACAACACACAUUCCAUAGCACCAUUGACAUUACCAACUAACAUUCAACUUAAAAAGCACCAAGUCUGUAGAAGUCAGUUCGAUCUGAUCUCCUAAACUUUCAGAAACAAUGCUUAACCAAGCCAGAGAAACCAAUGUCCUAUUUUUUUCUCAACAAUUAAAUUUUUUUUUCAAGACAAAUCUCAAACUUUAUAAAUAUUUGUGUUUGGUUGCAGCUUAAUUUGCAUGAUCUCAAGUGGACGAAAUCAUAAAAUCUGGAAGUUUAAGGUGUACCUGACAACAUUUUGACCAAUUCGAGUGUUUGUCUAGAAUAGAUCCUAAGAGAGCUCAUCAAAUAAGGUAUACCAAAGUAAAGAUGAUGUUGUAUCUUUUUCUUUCACUUUUAUGGCUAUUCUAAAUUAGGAGUGAAGUUCUCGAAGUCCGACACACAUUCACACUCCAGGUGAAGUGUUGAGUGCUUUGCUCAUGUUGUUUGUGUGUACAGGUUAAUGUGUGCUUGGUAUAUAUAGUGCUGUUAUUAAAUGAACAGAUAUGUGCUAAUUGAUGUUCGUACAACAGAUGAAGGGUUUUGAGGUGCUUCCUCCAGGCUGGAAUACAAUGCCUGUAACUCUCCAAAAGUCUAUGACAUAUCCUUUUAACAGAGUUUUGAGGUUAAUCAUCAAUCUACAUACUGGACCUCACAGCUUUUGGAGAUUAACAGAGCACCCUGCUCCAAAAUUUCAUAGACAAAGCGGAAUUCGAUUAACGUAAAACAAAAUCAUCAUCUUGGGGCUGAAUAAAUAUUUCCCUCUGUUUUCAUGGUUAAAGAAAAUGCAAUUAGCCUUAAUUGACCUUAAUCUAGAAGGUUUUUUUUGCUAGUAAUAUAAUAAAUCAAUGAUUUUCAUUAAUUGUUGUAGUAACCCACUUCCUGCCACGGCUCAAGGCAAACAAAGUCUUAAACAGUCCCAUUAAACCACAAAUAGCUGUUUAGCAAUAUGUUUACGUUAACGCUACCUCUUUAAAUAAUAACAGUCAUAGCCACCGCCUGGUACAAAAUGUAUGAAUUUGCUGUCUUUUUUCAAAUCUUGGUGCUAAUUGUAUUACAAGGAUGUCUGCAAGUAGAGCAUGUAAAAUAAAAUAAUGUACUAAUAAAAUCAGUAGAAAAACAGCUGGAAAUACAAUGCUGAUAAUUACUGGCAGUAAGGCUAAUCUUUGAUUUUAUUGCAUAAUCUAAAGCACAGUCUUUAGAAAUCUUUGUUUUGGUAUCUGUGUAGGCACAGCGGCAAGCUGAGAUAUAGCUCAUUCAAUAGUCAUGAGGCUUCCAACUCCAAACUAGGCCGAGAAAUGAAAAAAAAAAAUCUCCUCAGCCACUUGGGCAAGCAAAUUGGAUCUGAAAUAUGUCCUCUCACCUGCCACGUGGUCGAUUCCAACUGCCUUCCAUCAACAAUUCUGUUUGAAGUUGAUCCCAGAAAAGGGCAUAGUUUGUCAAAAUAAAAAUCUCUGGUAUAAUGAUUACCAAGAAACUUGUCUGCAGUCACAGAACUUGCUUCUACAAUGGAUCUCACGCGUAAGCAAUAACAGACUAUAAAUAAAUUCCGUUCUAUCACUCAUGCCCUGCUGUCUCUACAACUACAAAAAGUUCUAGAGCUUAGAGUUAAGGCUAUUAUAGUUUUGAAAUAUUUUUCCCAUUGCUGUGUUAAACAAAUACAAGUUCAUAGCACUGGUUGUAUCAACCUCUGGGUCAAUCACUGUGGCAGAUCAACCAAAGCACUUAUAUCCCAUAACUUGGAGUGCUGGAGAAAAUAAAUACAUAUUACGUAGUUCCCUCUUUGGGCAUGAAAUAGGUUAAACUCAGUACGUUGUAGAGAAAUUGAGUACUAAGGACAAACAUAAUUAAAGAGCAGGAAAUAAAACUAAUUAUUAAAAAAUUCCAUAUAUUCCAUAAAAGGGACACUAUAGUCACCAGCUUCAUGUAGUAGUUCUGGUGUCUAUAACAUGUACCUGCAGACUUUUCAAUGUCAACACUGCAUGUUCAGAGAAAAGACAGUGUUUACAUUGCUGCCUAGGGACGGCUACUAGAUGUGCUUCCUGGGUCAAUGCUGCACAUUGUACAGCACCUUCGUUCAGCGUCUCUAUGAACGUUCCCCAUGGAGAUGUAUUGAUAGAAUGCAUUUCUAUGAGGAGCUGCAGAUUGGCACAGCGUGGCGUUUGAAGGAGCAUUGGAUUGGCUGAGAUCAUAAAGAUGCAGAAGAGGUAAGUUUUAAACCUUUUAACACCCUCAGUGGGGGGACAAGGACCUAAACUGCUACUCCAGCACUGCAUUGUUAGGAAUACAUGUUCUUCUAAUUUACAGUGUUAGCCAACUAACUCAGUGUUCUAGAAAAUGAUAGGAUCAUGUUCAUUUCUUUCUAACAAGGCUAAAUGCAUUCAAAUAAUUUACAAAUUGGAUAUUUGAUAUGCAAAGAAACCCAUGCAAGGAUAGGAAUAUAUAUAGACUGGAGAUAUGGCAUCUAAUGAGCAUCAUAUUAUUUAGUGAAAUAGAGGGAUUACAUUCAGACAUUUAUAGCUGAUUUUGGGAAAUAGCUUCUAUUACUUUUCUUUCCCAGACAAAUGACUAGAUAAUGAUGCAUAUUAAUUACAUACAGAUUACUGGAGUGGGCGUUUGAUUCAGACCUACAGUAGUAGUAGAGACGCUCAAGCUCACACUAAACCCAUAUGCCACGAAUAGAUCAAAAUUGAGGUUUGAAAUAAAGUAAAAAUAUAUAUUUUUGUUUUAGUUGCCUACAAUGUGUCUAUAAUGGUUGAGUAAAUCUUCUAAUUAAAUGUAUCUAGUUACAAUGACCGGCUGCUCAUAGAAGUAAAAAGCAAGCUAAAGCCCUGAUAUCCUGAAACAUUUACCAAAGCUGUUUGGGAGUACAAGAUAUUUGAAUUUAUGGUUAAUGCUCUCUCUAAAUUAACUCAAGGUAUCCUUUGGUGCAUUCAGUUGGUCACCCAGGGGUUUAACUUUCAAGAUAAGGGCUGUUUUCACUAUAAACAUGUGCUUAGAAAGAAGAGGCAUCUGGGAGUGACUGAUGCUUUAUGAGCAGAGCUGCAGGCCGGUAUUAAAUAAUGAAUACUUAGCUGGCUCAUCUGAUACAUUUCUUUUUAUGAAUCUGAAAGCUUAAGUACCAGACACCAAGAACAUUCCAAAUGUAAACAGAAACCCAGGAUGUUUAAAUCUAUUAGAACGCUAGGGCUGUGUGGAUCAAAGAGAAAUCUCCCAUUAUUUCAGCUCUUACUCAAGUCGUAGGUUACAUAUUGGAUUUAUGUUGUGUUGUUUUUCAACUGGUUUUUCAAAUUGGUUUUCACUUUUUUAUAUUAAAGUGCUCUUUCCUGUACAAACCAAUUCAACUCCCACCAUUCAUGGUCACUGCAUUUUAAAAUUAAUUCAGCUUCUUAUCUCAAUAUUUUAAUGUUUCUCUUCACAAAUGCUUGCCUGUGUUAAUAUGAUCAGUCCACAAAAGCCAUAUAUUGGGGUGUACAUCAAGAACAGGCAUUUAUGGCUGUAAUGGGCUGUGACAAUAUGAAAGAAAGCCAGGCAAACAUACAAUGUAAAAGGUAGAAUCUAUUAGCCAUUUCUUAAAGGGCUACUGUCAUAUUAGGAUAACAAAUAAAGCUACUAGAAAAUCCUAUGGUCGUCAUUAUCUUUUUUGUAUGUCCAGAAUAGCUUUCACUCAGUAGCCAACAAAUAUCAGAACCAGAGUCCUAAAUAUAACUCGUACAUAAGACACACAUCAAACCACAGCUCAUCUAUAAUAGGGAUUUUAAUCCACUCCCUUCCACAUUACAAGUGCGACUCAUUCAAGUUUCUAUAGCAGCAGGAGUGUUCAGGCACUGUCUUUCCUUCAGGGGAUAUACGGUUUUGUAACGGUUUAUCCCUGAGGUAGGUCCUCCAGCACCCAACACAGCUGCUCCAAGUUUCAUCCUUUUCUGCCGUAUGAGGAAGGUUUAGCCAGGCGUCCGGUGACAGUCAGUCAGAGAGUCUCAGAUUUUGCUUUCAACUCAUCACUUGCUACUAAUCUAGAUAAUUAGCAUGAACUGAUAUUGCUUUCAUUAGGAUAAGGUAUUCCAACCCAUUGUGUAAUAUGUGAAACAUGGUGUCGAACAUGAUUUCUUAAUUAGUAAGAAUAAUUGAUGGUGUGAGGUGUUCCUAACCCAUUAUGAUCUAGUGGAAUAUCCUAUUAUUAAUAUCCUAAAUUAAGGCCAGAAUUUUGCACAUUCAGGCAAGAGGCAAAUAUAAACACUGCUAAUUUCCAAUGCCGACAAUUCAAGUCUGUCCUAGAUCACUGUCUCUCCAAUUACCUCUGACAAAUACAAUCAAUACAGCCAGGUUCAACUCGACUGAUCACGUUGAAAACACAGAUUCUUUGGGGUCUAGAUGUACUGCUGAACAAGUCUAACACUGCAUAAUGACGUUACGUGGCUCCAUGAUGUCUCAUUGACAAACUGCCGUACUAGAUACUUGUAUACAUAAGUACACUCUUGACAUAGUAAGAAUAGAAGUAGUAUAUGGGGUGCUAUAACAAUUGUUAAUAUUUUAAGAUGGACAACCUUUGGGAUCAAAGGCCUGUGAUUUAUCAUGAUGAAAUGUGUAUACCACAACAUCUUAAUAACCCAAUAUUGCUUAUCCAGGAAGGCAAAGCAUCUCUAGCAACUGAUUAAUAAAAACAAUCAUAUCCAUUCUAAUGGCUUGUUUACACUGAAUUAGUAGCAGCAAAUUAAGUUAACCUGGCAAAUUAAGAUAUCGUAAUGACAACUUUAAUAGCACAUGGAACCAUUGCGUUGGACGGUUGGGAGGCCUGCCAUUUACAUCUACAUUACCUCAAAAGUCAAACAAAUCCCAAACCUAAAAACAAACAAACAUUUUUCUGUAAGAAUAUGGAAUGCAUUUUUAAUCAUAAAUACAAAUAUAUAUUCAAAUAUUUU